rnacentral:rRNA from 1 species
AACGAACGCUGGCGGCAGGCCUAACACAUGCAAGUCGAGCGCCCUUUCGGGGGAGCGGCGGACGGGUGAGUAACGCGUGGGAAUAUGCCCUUCUCUACGGAAUAGCCUCGGGAAACUGAGAGUAAUACCGUAUACGCCCUGUGGGGGAAAGAUUUAUCGGGGAAGGAUUAGCCCGCGUUGGAUUAGGUAGUUGGUGGGGUAAUGGCCUACCAAGCCGACGAUCCAUAGCUGGUUUGAGAGGAUGAUCAGCCACACUGGGACUGAGACACGGCCCAGACUCCUACGGGAGGCAGCAGUGGGGAAUUUUAGACAAUGGGGGCAACCCUGAUCUAGCCAUGCCGCGUGAGUGAUGAAGGCCUUAGGGUUGUAAAGCUCUUUCAGCUGGGAAGAUAAUGACGGUACCAGCAGAAGAAGCCCCGGCUAACUCCGUG